rnacentral:rRNA from 1 species
AUUGAACGCUGGCGGAAUGCUUUACACAUGCAAGUCGAACGGCAGCACGGGGCAACCUGGUGGCGAGUGGCGAACGGGUGAGUAAUACAUCGGAACGUGCCCAAUCGUGGGGGAUAACGUAGCGAAAGUUACGCUAAUACCGCAUACGAUCUACGGAUGAAAGCGGGGGAUCGCAAGACCUCGCGCGAAUGGAGCGGCCGAUGUCAGAUUAGGUAGUUGGUGGGGUAAAGGCUCACCAAGCCGACGAUCUGUAGCUGGUCU